GGGAUUACCUUAGUAACGGCGAGUGAAGCGGUAAUAGCUCAAAUUUGAAAUCUGGUCUUUUGACCCGAAUUGUAAUUUGUAGAGGAAUGUUCGGCGAUAUCUAGGUCUAAUUUUUCUGGAAGGAAAAGCCACUGAGGGUGAGAGCCCCGUAUGACUGAAGAUUGAACCAUGUGUACAUCCUUCGAAGAGUCGAGUUGUUUGGGAAUGCAGCUCAAAAUGGGUGGUAAAUUCCAUCUAAAGCUAAAUAUUGGCCAGAGACCGAUAGCGCACAAGUAGAGUGAUCGAAAGAUGAAAAGCACUUUGGAAAGAGAGUGAAACAGUACGUGAAAUUGUUGAAAGGGAAGCGCUUACAACCAGACUUGGAAUUGAUAUUCAGCGAUUCAUUGGAUCGUGUACUUUAUCAGUUACAGGCCAGCAUCAGUUUUUGUGGUUGGAAAAAAGUAAUGAGAACGUAGCUCCUCGGAGUAUUAUAGCUCUUUACAGAAUACAGCCUAUAAAGACUGAGGAUAGCCUUUUGAAGGAUGUUGGCAUAAUGGUUGCUAGCGG
rnacentral:rRNA from 1 species